CCUAUACAUACGCUGCACUCAAUCAAAUCAAGGCAUUAAUUAUUGUUCACCUUGCAAUGUUAGCGAGGAUAUAACUCACUAAUUGAAACAUCAUUAAUUGACAUUUCCGAAGAUCCGCACUGAUCUGAUGACCUAUUCACUAUCCAAUUUAUCUCCGUUGCCAUGUUUGAGUCAAUGGUGGCCGGUGGCGGAUAUGCAGGUGGUGAGGGCAUUUGGAGAUGGCGAGAAGAACUAUGAAGCAUGAUAAUAACUGAAGCCAUGGUUGGUCUCUGGGUUAUAUUUUUUUGAAUGCAUAAUAAACCUAUAUGGAUUAAUCUCUGAAUUUUACUUGUUGAGCCAUCUUUCAAGUAGGGAUCUAUGAGAUUUGCGAUUGUCCCCUCCUCCCAGUUCCUCCAAGCCUGCAAAAAUAAUCGACAUUCACAUUUAUUAUCCAAGACAAUAUUUUUAAAUCUUUUCAUUUCAUCUUUUGGCGUUUUGGGCUAAAGGUGAAAUGAAAUUUAUAUGUGAAUAGUGAUCAGACUUACAAAGCUCAUAAGAUUCUCUACUUGUUUUCCAUUACGGAAACAAAUAUUUUUCCGACCACUUAUGAUCUCUAAGAGUAAUACACCAAAGCUAAAAACAUCU
rnacentral:misc_RNA from 1 species